ACAGCCACUUCAGGUUGAAACACCAGUGCUCAUACGAUCACCAAAAGUUAAGCAAUGUUGAGCCUGGUCAGUUCUUAGAUGGGUGAUCACUUAAGAAUACCAGGUGUUGCAAG